AACGAACGCUGGCGGCAUGCCUAACACAUGCAAGUCGAACGAGACCUUCGGGUCUAGUGGCGCACGGGUGCGUAACGCGUGGGAACCUGCCCUUAGGUUCGGAAUAACUCCCCGAAAGGGGUGCUAAUACCGGAUAAUGUCUUCGGACCAAAGAUUUAUCGCCUUUGGAUGGGCCCGCGUUGGAUUAGCUAGUUGGUAGGGUGAAAGCCUACCAAGGCGACGAUCCAUAGCUGGUCUGAGAGGAUGAUCAGCCACACUGGGACUGAGACACGGCCCAGACUCCUACGGGGGGCAGCAGGGGGGAAUAUGGGACAAUGGGCGAAAGCCUGAUCCAGCAAGGCCGCGUGAGUGAUGAAGGCCUUAGGGUUGUAAAGCUCUUUUACCCGGGAUGAUAAUGACAGUACCGGGAGAAUAAGCUCCGGCUACCUCCGU
rnacentral:rRNA from 1 species